GGAGUGCUAGGGACUCUCAUGUGCCUAUGUUGGCUCCGUUGCCAAUUGGGUUUGCGGUUUUUCUGGUUCAUCUGGCGACCAUUCCCAUCACCGGCACUGGUAUCAACCCUGCGAGGAGUCUGGGGGCAGCCAUCAUCUACAACAAGGAACAUGCUUGGGAUGACCAUUGGAUCUUCUGGGUGGGGCCUUUCAUCGGAGCUGCACUUGCUGCAGUUUAUCACGUAGUCGUCAUCAGAGCAAUUCCGUUCAAGCACAAGACAUGAGUUCUGUUUGGUAGGGUUUCACUUGGGGUACGAGUUCUGUUUGGAAGGGUUUGGGUUCUGUAUGGAGGAUUUAACUUGGUUUAUGAAU
rnacentral:misc_RNA from 1 species